CUCCGUCCCCUUCAUCCUCCAUCUCUCCGGUGAGAUCCAGGCGCGCUCGCUCUCCUCCCGGCUCGCCAGCUUCACUUCUCCUCUCUCGUUCUCAUCCUCAACCAUUCCAGCUGCGACAUCGGAACUCGCCGGCCCCGCUCCUCCCUCACCUCCUCCGGGCGCCACCACAUUCAGCAGAAGCCGGCGGAUCUAGGGGGCCCUCAGGCGGCACCCUGAUUUGCUGAACGGUGCCUGAUAUGCACCCCUCCAACCGGAUCUGCAAUCUAUCAAUGUCCAGUAGCUUCUGGGAUGAUUCAGAGAUUGCCAUGCUUUCAUCGGUGAUCUUCUUGGCCGCGUGCUUUCAUCAGUGAUCUGCUUACAUUGGUCCAAAACUCCCAUGCCAUGUAUAUGUUCAAUUACAAGCUUAUCUGUACAAUACAUACUCUAGUUUCCAGAACGAAGAGUCGAGAGCAAGCUGUAAUUUCGUUUUUCAUUUUUCCUCCCUCUGGAACCCUAUGAUUUUUCCUUGAACGAAGAGUACACGUG
rnacentral:lncRNA from 1 species